GUCUUCGUAGUUCAACUGGAUAGAAUAUCAGAUUCCGGUUCUGAUGAUAUGGGUUCGAAUCCCUUCGAGGGCU
rnacentral:tRNA from 2 species